AUUGAACGCUGGCGGCAGGCCUAACACAUGCAAGUCGAACGAGUGGCGGACGGGUGAGUAAUGUCUGGGAAACUGCCCGAUGGAGGGGGAUAACUACUGGAAACGGUGGCUAAUACCGCAUACCAUCGGAUGUGCCCAUAUGGGAUUAGCUAGUAGGUGGGGUAAAGGCUCACCUAGGCGACGAUCCCUAGCUGGUCUGAGAGGAUGACCAGCCACACUGGAACUGAGACACGGUCCAGACUCCUACGGGAGGCAGCAGUGGGGAAUAUUGCACAAUGGGCGCAAGCCUGAUGCAGCCAUGCCGCGUGUAUGAAGAAGGCCUUCGGGUUGUAAAGUACUUUCAGCGGGGAGGCGUUACCCGCAGAAGAAGCACCGGCUAACUCCGUGCCAGCAGCCGCGGUAAUAC
rnacentral:rRNA from 1 species